AGGGGGGGGGGGGUUGUUGCUUUGAGGGAAGUUACGCUUAUUUUUUUUUUAAAUUUUUUUUUUUUUUUUUUUUUUUUUUUGAGAUGGAGUCUUGCCCUGUCGCCCAGGCUGGAAUGCAGUGGUGCUAUCUCGGCUCACUGCAACCUCCGCCUCCCAGGUUCAAGCAAUUCUCCUGCCUCGGCCUCCCGAGUAGUUGGGAUUACAGGCAUGCGCCACCA
rnacentral:lncRNA from 1 species